GGCCUCCCAAUUUUUGCCUAAUUUGGAAGAGAGCCGCAGCCCUUCUGCUGAUGCGCGCGCGCUGGCGCCUUUUUAAGGCAACCAGCUGAGUGGCGGCUCCACCAGAGCCCGGGAGCUGCCCCCGCCCCCGAGCCGUGAGCCCUGCUCCGGCCCGGCCCGGGGAGUCCCCGGCGCCACACGCCCCCUCCCCCACCCCCAUCUUAGCGCCCCCACCCACUAUGGGGACAUUUCAACCAGGGAGAAGGGAGGUCCUGCCCUUGCCCCUGGCCCCCGCCCCCCUCCUCCAACAGGGGAGACUUCUGUCCAAACCUUGGAAGGAAGCGAGAUGCCAGGCCUAGCGCCUUCGGAGAUCCUCUCUGGACAAGGCCACAGGGUGAAAACACCAGGUGAGGACUUUACUGCCCUCGGGGCCACCCUGGAACUCUGAAGACCUUUGCCUCCCUCCAGGCCCCGGGCCCCUUAACUUUUUUCUUCCUGAGCUCAGCCUGGAGCAGAGUUAGGAUCCCGAGAAAGCCCCUUACCAGUUGCUCCAACCCCCUCCUUAAACUGGAAGGGAAACUGAGGCCCGGAGGAAAGUUGUGAUUGACCAGGGCCACACGACAUGUUCCUGGAGGAAGAGCAUGGGCCAGAGCCCACGGCUGCUGACCUCCUGGCCAGAGGUCAAGCCCUGUUCCUUACAGUUGAGCACAGCCAGCCCUGUCUGUGUGCACCAAGCAGAGGUGCUGGACACCUCUGCUCUGCCACCAGCUGCCUCGCCUUCCCCAGCGCGGUCUGAACCUGGGUAGGCUUUUUGGAAAAGCUUCUGGAUGUCACGGACUCCACGACCGACCAACUAGGCUGCUGCUGCUUGCAAACGUCACCUCCAUUGAAGGAUUCCUGCAGCCACCAGCUCUGGAACUUUCUGGACCCAAACCUUUCCCCAGACUGCCUACAAGGACCAGUUGGCUUCUGGAUGGAGCAUUUCCUGGAGGCGUUUGACCAGGACCCGCAGGACAGCUGGAAAGUGCCUGACCCUUCUCAAGGAGCUGCAUGGCUUCCAGACAUCCCUAGGCCCCUCUCUGGACCAGGAUGGGGGACCCAGAGGUGGAGCUGAACACACAAGGCAACACUUGAGGGCUCCGAGGGUGACUGAAGCUAAGGAGUGCUGGAGACAGCAGUUGCUUUAGCCACAGGCUGUGUAGACCACCUGAGGAUGAUCCGGGCGUCUGUUUUGUGCACCUUGGAACCCAUCGGAUCCCUCCAGCGACACAUUUGUCCAGAGCAAGACAAGAUAACACUUUGACAGCCCUCUGUCAAGAUUCUUGCUCCAAAUCUCCAGACUAGUAUCCGGAGUCUCCAUGCCGGUUCUGAAGAAGCAGAUUCCUCAUCCACCCUUCAACUCCUUCCCAGGAGGUCAUCCUCCUCCAAAUCUCUAGAAAAGAUACACCUCCUCUUCUCUGAUAAAGGCUGGGGGGUGAUGCCCCCCCACCAGGUUCCCAAUAAAGCUAUGCAAGACAGGGGCAAGAGCUCUCACAGCCUGUUUUUGUUACAAAAACCCUUUUUCGGAAAAAAUAAUAAAGAAAGGAAUCAGCCAAUCCCUCCUCGAUGCCA